GAUGAACGCUGGCGGCGUGCCUAAUACAUGCAAGUCGAGCGAACGGACGAGAAGCUUGCUUCUCUGAUGUUAGCGGCGGACGGGUGAGUAACACGUGGAUAACCUACCUAUAAGACUGGGAUAACUUCGGGAAACCGGAGCUAAUACCGGAUAAUAUUUUGAACCGCAUGGUUCAAAAGUGAAAGACGGUCUUGCUGUCACUUAUAGAUGGAUCCGCGCUGCAUUAGCUAGUUGGUAAGGUAACGGCUUACCAAGGCAACGAUGCAUAGCCGACCUGGGAGGGUGAUCGGCCACACUGGACCUGAGACACGGUCCAGACGCCUACGGGAGGCAGCAGUAGGGAAUCUUCCGCAAAGGGCGAAAGCCGGACGGAGCAACGCCGCGUGAGUGAUGAAGGUCUUCGGAUCGUAAAACUCUGUUAUUAGGGAAGAACAUAUGUGUAAGUAACUGGGCACAUCUUGACGGUACCUAAUCAGAAAGCCACGGCUAACUACGUG
rnacentral:rRNA from 1 species